GACCACUCUUGACUUCCAGAGUCGACGUCAAGUCCCCCAACCCUUCCUGUCAAUGUCCUUCGAUGCUCGUAAAAGCUGUCCUCGCAAAGCUCAAUCAUACCCAUUAAAUUUCCUGUACUCAAGUCCAGGUUCCUCCUUAUGGGUACCCAUGAAAGUCUUAUUAGUAGUGAAAUUUCGACCAAAUCAGAGGAAGCUGAGAGCCAGAAUACUUUCACAGUGAGCCAAACUGUGUUUGGGGUUCUGCACUUGAUCAUCUCCCUCGGGCUUAUUCUUGCGACCGAUGUGGUUUUGAGCAAAUUCUUCUCGGCUGCCUCAAUUCAGUUCCCGAGCGCAUUAUUUGGGAUGUUCUGUAUAUUUUCUGCUUUGGUGGUUCUUGACUGUACCGUGCCGUCUGCUGCUAUGGCCUUGAUGAAGUUCUUUGAACCAGCGUUUGUGUUCAUUCAAAGAUGGCUACCGUUGUUCUACGUUCCAUCGUUGGUUGUCUUGCCGCUUUCUAUUAAAGAUAUUCCUGCUGCUGCAGGCGUCAAGAUUGGCUUUAUUAUAGUUGGAGGAUGGCUGGCUACACUUUGUGUUGCUGGUUUCACAGCUCUUGCUAUAAGAAAAGCUGUGAAGACAGAAAUGAUAGAUGCUGAGCCCAUGGAAAAGCCAUCUCCAUUUUCUUCCAUUGAAGUGUGGGCUUGGACUGGGAUUUUGCUCAUAUCACUUUUUGUUGCAUUUUUUAACCCUACAGCAUUGGGAACUCACGCUAGAACGUGCCUCCCCUUCUUACUUGCUUCCAAUGUGUUGGGCUACAUGCUUGGUUCUUGGCUUCCAUCAAGUGUGAAGAAGGUCUUCCAUCCAAUUAUUUGUUGUACACUAUCAGCAGAUCUGACAGCAUUGGCGUUUGGGUAUCUUUCUAAGUUAGGCUUCGAACCUCUUCUAGGAUAUUAUCUUACAAAUGCAUCGUCUAAUCCAGGAGCUGGUGACAUUCUAAAUGCAUUUUUGGGUUCUGUUAUUCUCUCAUUUGCUUUCUCUAUGUUCAAACAGAGAAAGCUUAUAAAAAGGCAUGCAGCUGAGAUUUUCACCUCUGUCAUAGUCUCAACGGUAUUUUCACUGUACUCCACUGCUCUCGUUGGACGUCUAGUUGGGUUAGAGCCAUCUUUAACGGUGUCAAUACUACCCAGAUGUAUAACACUUGCGUUGGCCCUUAGCAUUAUAUCGUUUUUUGAAGGUGCCAUUUCAUCUCUCACAGCAGCUGUGGUUGUUGUAACUGGUCUAGUUGGAGCCAAUUUUGUGCAAGCAACACUUGAUAAACUUCGUUUUCGUGAUCCAAUUGCUCGAGGAAUAGCAACCGCAUCUAGUGCUCAUGGACUGGGAACAGCUGCAUUAUCUGCCAAGGAACCUGAGGCACUUCCAUUUUGUGCAAUUGCUUAUGCUCUGAAUGGUAUCUUUGGCACAACACUUUGCUCUAUUCCAGUUGUCAGACAGAGCUUGCUUGCAAUUGUUGGCUGACAACCUGAGCACGCGCGCGCGUUUUGACAUGAUGUCUGUGGGUCAUAAGGAAGAACAUGCCAGUCCUUGACAGAAUUUUUUAUUCCUUAAGACGCCAUAGCGAAGCCCACAGUAUGUAUUGAGCCAGACCGCUCGCCCUGGUUACUCCCCUCGCCCAGUGGCCGCUACCUGGUCUUGCAGCCGACGCCGC